AAGUUUGGACAAGGAAGUUCUCUGGGGCUGCUUGCAUAUGGACACUAAAUCUACUCUUUAGUCACUAAUAGACUCAUACACACGACUCUGCCUUCCUCGUCUACUGGAUGUGCUGCCUGGUUUCCUUCAAUAAAGGCUGCAGUUAUGAGCACAAUUCAUUCCAAGCAGCAGAAACUCAGCCGCACAUAUGGAAUUCUGGUCAGACUACGUACCUCCCAGAGCUGGAAAUAUUAUAAGGCUGCUGAACAUGGAUUUUAUAGAGCUUAUUAUAGAGUCUCUCGUAACUGGUAGGCUGGUAGGAAUGCUUUAUGAAACACAAGGUAAAAUCCUGAUGAGUUUGGCAGUUUCAUAACUGGACAAAUAUGCUAAGCUGACAUGAAGAGAAGAUAGUGGAAGACAGACAAUGAAGAAAUGGGGACAUGCCAAAGAUCACAAGAGAAGAUCUAAAGAAGAGCAACCAAUGAAAGCUAACUCCUUUGUUUUAUUUUUCAUUGUCUAAUUGAGAUAAAAUAUUAAUAUGAAAUGCACAUGUUCAGUUUCGUUACCAUUGUGUGGACUGAUGGUUUUCUUGUGUUUGUAUAGAGCUGGGUACAUACUACCCUGACCAACCCGUAGUUUCUAUGAUGUUCUAGUCCACCAUGUGACUCUUACUACCUCCAUCAGCAACUACUAUUCUGACCUCAAUAUCAUGGACUGUAUUUGUGCAUUGUUGACAUUUAUGCAAUAAGUAGUGGUGUGUAUUUGUUGGCUUUUAGGGCUGGCUUUUGUUAACUGGAGAAUGCCUAUGCUACUUUUCCAUAUUCCUGACUGGUCUCAGUGGUCCACUGCUUCUGGUUGUGUAUAGAAAGCCUCAUUUACUUCUCUCUUUGAUUCCAUGUUGUUCAGAAUCCUAUUAAUCCAACUAAUCAUUUGUACUGUGAAAGAUGCUACAAAUGUUAUGACAGUUG